rnacentral:rRNA from 1 species
UAGUCCACGCUGUAAACGAUGUCAACUAAAUGUUGGUAGGGGAACCUAUCAGUAUUGAAGCUAACGCGAUAAGUUGACCGCCUGGGAAGUACAGCCGCAAGGUUGAAACUCAAAGGAAUUGACGGGGGCCCGCACAAGCGGUGGAGCAUGUGGUUUAAUUCGAUGCAACGCGAAGAACCUUACCUACCCUUGACAUCCUGCGAAUCCCGAAGAGAUUUGGGAGUGCCGCAAGGAACGCAGAGACAGGUGCUGCAUGGCUGUCGUCAGCUCGUGUUGUGAGAUGUUGGGUUAAGUCCCGUAACGAGCGCAACCCUUGCCCUUAGUUACCAGCAAGUUAUGUUGGGGACUCUAAGGGGACCGCCGGUGAUGAACCGGAGGAAGGCGGGGACGACGUCAAGUCAUCAUGGCCUUUA